UGCCAGUAGUCAUACGCUCGUCUCAAAGAUUAAGCCAUGCAUGUGUAAGUAUAAAUAAUUUUACUUUGAAACUGCGAAUGGCUCAUUAUAUCAGUUAUAGUUUAUUAGAAAUAUUUUACUACUUGGAUAACCGUAGUAAUUCUAGGGCUAAUACAUGAGUAAAACCUCAACUUCGGAAGAGGUGUGUUUAUUAGUAUGAAAACCAUAUAUCUUCGGAUAUAAUAGUGAGUAAUAAUAACCUUUCAUAUCGUAUGUCGUAAGAUAACGAUAGUUCUUUCAAGUUUCUGCCCUAUCAGCUUUCGAUGGUAGUAUAUGGGACUACCAUGGCAGUAACGGGUAACGAAGAAUUUGGGUUCGAUUUCGGAGAGGGAGCCUGAGAGAUGGCUACCACAUCCAAGGAAGGCAGCAGGCGCGUAAAUUACCCAAUCCUGACAUAGGGAGGUAGUGACAAUAAAUCACAAUGCGGAAC
rnacentral:rRNA from 1 species